rnacentral:sRNA from 1 species
UACUCUGGUGCGCACAUUCCCGCCUGUA